GAUGAAGAACGCAGCGAAAUGCGAUAAGUAAUGUGAAUUGCAGAAUUCAGUGAAUCAUAGAAUCUUUGAACGCACCUUGCGCUCCUUGGUAUUCCGAGGAGCAUGCCUGUUUGAGUGUCAUGAAAUUCUCAAACCCAUAAGUCUUUGCGGGCUUACGGGCUUUGGACUUGGAGGCUUGUCGGCGACCGUGAGGUCACAUCGACUCCUCUCAAAUGCAUUAGCUUGAUUCCUUGCGGAUCGGCUCUCGGUGUGAUAAUUGUCUACGCCGUGACCGUGAAGCGUUUUGGCAAGCUUCUAACCGUCUCUAACGAGACAGCUUACUUUGACCUCUGACCUCAAAUCAGGUAGGACUACCCGCUGAACUUAAGCAUAUCAAUAAGCGGAGGA
rnacentral:misc_RNA from 1 species